AAACAUUUCAUGAUUUAUUUUAUUUAACACAUGAACAUCCAAGACAAACUAUAUUACACCGUGUUAAUCAUAACAUCUGAGGAGUAUCACGAAAUGUUUGCAAUUCUGAGUCAAAAACAAGCGAUGUCUCUAAUGGUAACAUGAGCUCAAUUACAAAGUUACAGAAUAUCCACAACUAAGGAGAAAUAAGUGCACUUUACAGAUAUUCCACAGCCUUGAUUUAAGGUGGAAUUUCCAAUCAAAUUAAGCUGUUUUGCCAGAAUCAACCAAAAAAGCAAAACAGGAACAGUCGAACAUGAAAGCUUAUUAACAGGAGACAAUAAAAGAAAUUUGAAAGCCUGGCGACAAAGAACAACAUCAGUAUGGGAAGGAGAAUUCCAUCACUUCGAGAUGAACUGGCAUCGAUGACAGUUUUCACACCUAACUUACACAGCAUUUUUCCAGAGUCCUUUACAAAACUCAGGCGUGGAGGAAAAAUAAAACAGGAUCAUAAAAAACACGGUAAAAAGAAAAGUGAAAUGAUCACAUGAAACACCCACAAAAAUAAAAAUAAUAACAACACCUACUCUUGAAGAAAAAAAGGAGAACAGAUUUUAGUAGUCAUAAUCGCAGAGACUGUACCAUGACAACCGGCGCAAGAAACUAAACAGUAGUAUUUACAUAUCUGAGAAAAACGGUCUUAUGAGACUGUUUCCCCAUGCUACAAUUAGAUGUAGGAGAUUAGAGGAGGACGCACGGAAACGAUGACCAACUUCAGGGCAGACGACUGGAAAAUAAGUGGCUUUGGAAAGUUAAAAUGUGCCUGGGGACAUGCAUAUAAAACCACGGCUUUUAUGGGCAUAAAUGUUCUAAUGACUCACACGCAUAAUGGCAGAAUUCAACGGGAUAAAGGAAUGCACUCUGAGUGCUUCCACACCCAUUUUAACUAAGGACAGUUUACAUACUACAAGGAAAUACAGAGAAAAGACCGCAUCCGUUCAACAGACUGCACAGAUUAAAGCAACAAGUGCUAUUUGUGCAACUUCACUGCUCAUUUAUGAACCCAUCGUGAUUACUGUCUACUUUCUGUCAAAAGCUAUUACAUGCAAUAACAUAAGUAGCACAUAUUAAAUAUGAACCAGGGCAAUUCUUUCUACCUUUAGUUUUAUUUUGAUUUCUGUCUCUGCUGCUCAGCAAACCUCGAUGGUUUAAAGUGCAUGUGGGAAGUUUGGCUGAAUUAUUUACAAGGAAUCCUGUAUCACCAUCAAGCAAUCUGUAAAAACUAUUAGUGACCAGGGGUUGCUUCAGUCUGUGCAUAUGCUCUGUGGAGUGAGACUGAGUGGAAUUGAUUUAGCCAUCACAAAAGAAUCCAAAAACCACACAUAAAACUUAAAUCCUCCAAAGAGACUUCUCCUAACAUUACCCCAGAUAAUAAACAGGGGUUAAAGUGAGCUGGAUUUAUUAUUACUGAUCAGUAAUAUCGCUGAAUGCCUUUAUUUUUCACGUGCCACAAUCGUGCUGUUGCUCCCAGUUAUUACAUUCAAUUACUUGCCCGGUAAUAAGCCAAAUAAUGACAUCCCACAGCCCACUUACAACCUGAAGUGAACUUUUUCAUUCUCAUCCCUGUGAUGCGUUCAUGGUGUAAAGGUAAAUAAUCCUGGUCAAUGUACUUCAGCAUCUAGAAUAUCACAGAGGAAGAGUGAGCAUCAAGGCAGUAAAGCUUUUUUUUAAGUGGCGGUAAUUUGAAAUGCAACUUCUCGAGGACAUUAAAAUAUCACCAAAUACACAAACUGUUUUUGUGCGGUCUGUCAAUCAACAGAAAACAUCUGACAAAUGUGUCUGCCAGCUGAAGGGAGAGGGGAAAAGAAGCAUUAACGUGCAACACUAUCAGAGAUGUAGAAAAAGAUGUACGAAAGACAGGAAACUAGAAGAAGACGAUUAUUUUCAAGGGUAAGGAUGGCAACACGCAAGGUUGGAUAAGCUGAAAAUGGAAAACUUCCAAUAUCCUCGUUCGUUUUAGAGCUCUUAAAUGGAUCUACAUGUGAUGUGUUGCCAAAUUAUCCCAAAACAAAUGGAAGCAUAUUAAUUUUGCAUUCUUCAAAGGUUGAAUGAAAAUACCAGGCAGGUUAGUGCAGGCUGCACUGGUUAUGUUUGCAGUACUGUGGUGAAGUUCACAGUGAUUCACUCUGCUGGAGUGGUCAAUGUUAGAUUAGAUCAAGAGUAGCAAAUAUUAUUUUAUUUAAGGUGAUGAUUACAUUCACUCAGCUAAUUCUAGCUUUUAUACAAGCCAUCAGCCAUGCGGCUCUAGAUAGAUCUGCUUAUAACUUGUUGAAUUCAGCGUGGUUAAAUCCACAAAAAAGCCGUUAAUAUUGAAUAUAGGAGAAGCAGCACAGCUCAGCUGAUCACAGCCUGUAUGCACAAAUCUAGCCUGCAAGUCAUCACUUGACUUAUUUCUAUGUAAUUCUUGUCCCCAUGCUGCACCAAUACAAACAAAUCUCUGAGAGUUACCCCACUUGCCAAAUCACACUUUUACCCCUUAAUAUAAGCCAUAAUGUGGACUAUGAGCUUUCAUUAUUUUUUCAUUCUUAUCCAAACUAUGAAAGAAACUGCCCUGAUAGUCUUCCUAAGAAAAAACUGCUAAAGUAAUUGUCCUGUCCUGUUUUCUUUCUUUAAUCAUGAAUCUCUG
ensembl:lncRNA